rnacentral:rRNA from 1 species
CCCUUAGAGUUUGAUCCUGGCUCAGGACGAACGCUGGCGGCGCGCCUAACACAUGCAAGUCGAACGAGCGAGAGAGAGUUUACUUUUUCGAGCGAGUGGCGAACGGGUGAGUAACGCGUGAGGAACCUGCCUCAAAGAGGGGGACAACAGUUGGAAACGACUGCUAAUACCGCAUAAGCCCACGACCCGGCAUCGGGUAGAGGGAAAAGGAGCAAUCCGCUUUGAGAUGGCCUCGCGUCCGAUUAGCUAGUUGGUGAGGUAACGGCCCACCAAGGCGACGAUCGGUAGCCGGACUGAGAGGUUGAACGGCCACAUUGGGACUGAGACACGGCCCGGACUCCUACGGGAGGCAGCAGUGGGGAAUAUUGCACAAUGGGGGAAACCCUGAUGCAGCGACGCCGCGUGGAGGAAGAAGGUCUUCGGAUUGUAAACUCCUGUUGUUGGGGGAGAUAAUGACGGUACUCAACAGGGAAGGACGGCUACUCUG